GGACCCGCACAAGUAGUGGAGCAUGUGGUUUAAUUCGAAGAUACGCGCAGAACCUUACCAACACUUGACAUGUUCGUCGCGACUCUAAGAGAUUAGAGUUUUCGGUUCGGCCGGACGAAACACAGGUGCUGCAUGGCUGUCGUCAGCUCGUGUCGUGAGAUGUUGGGUUAAGUCCCGCAACGAGCGCAACCCUCACUUUUAGUUGCCAUCAUUAAGUUGGGCACUCUGAAAGAACUGCCAGUGAUAAGCUGGAGGAAGGUGGGGAUGACGUCAAGUCCUCAUGGCCCCUUACGUGUUGGGCUACACACGUGCUACAAUGGUAUCUACAACAGGAAGCAAAAUCUGCGAGGGGGAG
rnacentral:rRNA from 1 species